rnacentral:tRNA from 1 species
GUUCCCGUAGUUGAGAACAACGA